AGCUGAGCGCUCGUCCCUCCGCGCGCUUCUCGCCGCCGUCUGCUUUCCUUGGUCGCCGCCGCAGCUGCGGGUGGAGAAAAGCUUUGCAAAAGUUCGCUCCGGGACCCAGGGGCUCUCCGGGCGACAGUCGCCGCUCUCCGCGCUGUCAGCGGCGCCCGGGCAGCGGGACGCUCCUCCAGGGGGCGGUUGGAGAAGGGGCUCUUCGGGCGCUCCCCAAAACACCAACCCAGGAGCCACAGGCGCUAGCUCUGGGCAGUUGGAGAGAAACUGGAAAAGGAAAUAAGAUCUGCAGUUCGGACUGGUGCCGUCCUGACAGUGUCUGCCUGUCUCCCGGAGUCCCAGCACCUCCACUCGCGCCUCGCAGCGACCGCCACACUCAGUGCAACUCUGAGUCCUUAUCCAGCCCGAGCUCAACACUUAUCUGCUACCAGUCAACCCCUAAAAAUAGCCCAUGAUGUCACCCCAAGGCCUUCGCAUUGGCUCGCGUCGCUCUCAAGGGGGCGGGCCCGCCCGUCGCCAUGGAGACCCCACCCUAGAAGAUUCUUCUCCGGACCCGCGGAGGCUCACGGGAUGAGUUUGUCAACUUGGAUACAUGCAUCCACAUCACAGUUGGAGUAAAGAGGCAGAAAUGAAAACUGAAAUACAAUUGUGCCUGCACCUGUUGUCUUUCAGAGGAUCCUCACAGCAGUCUUCUGAGUAAACUGAGGUUCAGAGUUGAUAAUCCUUCUACAAAGACCUGUUGAUGAAUGCCACAAAAAGUUCAGGAGGAAAGGGGGAUUCCUCAGAUAUUAAAAAAGGUACUAUGUCAGGCCCUGGGGAUACCACUCAUUCCCUCUCCUUACGGGAAUUGCUUGCAGCACCCAGCUGCCCCUGCCCACUCUCGGUGAAUACUUGCUGAAGAAAUGCUGAAAUGAGAGAACACAGGCUUGAAGAAGUCAUCACAAAAGCUGAGCUCCCACCAUGGACCAAGGCCCUGGGCCAAGACGGAUAAGAGGCCUGGAUUUACUCUCCCACCUGAAACAACCAAAAAGACCUGACAAUAUAUCAAACAGUGGUUCUCAGAGCACCAGCUAUCUGGAAAUGAAGGGCAGCGACCCCUGAAAGACAGGAAGCCAGUGAGGAAACUUCCCGCGUCUUUAUGUACCAACACCUGUGAUUAAGCAAAGCUUCGUUUAAAACCACAGUCCGUGUUCACAUCCAGAACAUAAACAAACCGAGGACUUGCUGUUCCAUGCCCUCCCUCCCAACUUUCCAAAAGAAUAUCUUCUCAACAUAAAGAGAGAUGCACUCUUCGUUUCUGUGGAAAACAAGUGCUCCUGGUUAUAUGAUCACACACCCCUGAAACGGUUACGUUUCUUCAUGUGCUGCAUUUUAGAAGGCCCAUAAAAGAGUUCUUGUCGAGAGAAAACACAGCUGGUGCCCAAUUAGAGAGGUGAUCAAGACUAAUUGACCGCGAGAGCUCGUAAUGAAGCCAGACCCCACGCUGCCGAGAGAGAGAGAGACUGCGGCUGGGGAUGGAGGUGGCACCACUCGAUCACGCAAAGGCCAUGACUGAGAGGGGUGGAUGGUUUAUUCCGGGAGGCAGAGUUGGUCAUGUGGUGACCCCUGAAUUGAAGGUUUAAAGGCUGGCUCUGCAAGGCUGA